AUUUAGAUUACCCAUAGGUGUGAGGGUGUUUGUUUGUCUAUAUAUGUCAGCCCUGUGAUGAACUGGCGAAAUGUCCAGGGUGUACCCGGCCUUCGCCCUUAAGUAACUGGGAAACGACCCCCAUUACCCUAGUGAGGAUAAAGCAGGUUCAGAAGAUGAAUGAACAAAUGAAUGUUUAUUACAUUUAAAUUAGCUUA